rnacentral:rRNA from 1 species
GACGGAGGGGGCAAGCGUGGUGCGGAAUUACUGGGCGUAAAGGGCGUGCAGGCGGCUUGGUAAGUCGAGGGGGAAAGCUCCCGGCUCAACUGGGAGAGGUCCUUGGAUACUGGCAGACUUGAGGAGGGUAGAGGAGAGUGGAAUUCCCGGUGUAGUGGUGAUAUGCGUAGAUAUCGGGAGGAACACCAGUGGCGAAGGCGGUUGCCUGGAGCUUUGCUGACGCUGAUGCGCGAAAGCGUGGGGAGCAAACAGG